AUGAGCGCGGGUGCUGACGCCGGCAGUGGCGCUGUAGCCGCGGAGUGGUCGCGACAAGGGAGUCCCGCGAAGGAUGGCUUCGUCCCUUCGGUGCUGGGGACCCGAGAGCAUUGGGAUGCUGUCUAUGAGAGAGAGCUGCAGGCUUUCCAAGAAUAUGGAGAUACAGGAGAGAUCUGGUUUGGGGAAGAGAGUAUGAAACGACUAGUAAGAUGGAUGCACAAACACAAGAUUCCAUUGGAUGCCUCUGUGCUUGAUAUUGGAACCGGAAAUGGCGUUUUCCUGGUUGAACUUGCAAAAUUUGGUUUCUCUAAUAUUACUGGAAUUGACUAUUCUCCUUCUGCAAUUCAGCUUUCUGGAAGUAUUAUAGAGAAAGAGGGAUUAUCAAACAUUAAGUUGGAGGUAGAAGACUUUUUGAAUCUUUCCACAAAGCUGUCUGGAUUUCAUAUUUGUAUUGACAAAGGGACUUUUGAUGCCAUCAGCCUUAAUCCUGACAAUGCAGUUGAGAAGAGGAGGCAAUAUGUGAAAUCUCUCUCCAGGGUGUUGGAAGUAAAAGGCUUCUUCCUAAUAACCUCAUGUAAUUGGACCAAGGAAGAGUUGCUAAAUGAAUUCAGUGAAGUUUAGGAAAAAUGCCACAUUGUUUUAUUUGGAUCUUUACUAAAAUGAGUGCCAUAGGGGCAUUGGCAUCUGUAUCCUCCUUUCACAGAACUCAGGAUUCUGGAGAAGGUAUCUCUCAGAUUUGAACUUUUCGAAGAGCUGCCAACACCCACGUUCAGCUUUGGAGGUAGAUCUGGAAACAGUGUAGCAUCAUUGGUUUUCCAAAAAACUUGAGACUCCUUGGACAAAUUCA